UACGUAGGGGGCAAGCGUUGUCCGGAUUUAUUGGGCGUAAAGAGCGUGUAGGCGGCCAAACAGGUCAGCUGUGAAAACUCGAGGCUCAACCUCGAGACGUCGGUUGAAACCGUAUGGCUAGAGUCCGGAAGAGGAGAGUGGAAUUCCCGGUGUAGCGGUGAAAUGCGCAGAUAUCGGGAAGAACACCCGUGGCGAAGGCGGCUCUCUGGGACGGUACUGACGCUGAGGUGCGAAAGCGUGGGGAGCAAACAGG
rnacentral:rRNA from 1 species